rnacentral:lncRNA from 1 species
GAUUUUUGGGGGGGCUUUUGGGGUUUUUGGGAAGUUUUGGGGGAUUUGGGGUUUUUUGGGGAUUUGGGGGAAGUUUUGGGGGAUUUGAGGAUUUUUGGGGUUGUUUUUAGGGAUUUUGAGGUUUUUUUGGAUUUGGGUUUUUUUGGGGAGAUUUGGGAUUUUUUGGGCAAAGUUUUUGGGAUUUGGGGUUUUUUUGGAUUUGGGAAUUUUGGGGGAUUUGGGGCUUUUGGGGGAUUUGGGGUUUGGGUGGGAGUUGAGAUUUUUUGGGGGGAUUUGGGGUUUUUGGGAAGUUGUUGGGAUUUGGAGUUUUUUGGGAUUUGGGGGAAGUUUUGGGGGAUUUGGGGCUCUCUUGGAUUUGGGGGUUUUGGGGAGAUUUGGGAUUUUUGGGGUUUUUUUUGGGAUUUGGGGGGGUUUGGGGAUUUGAGGUUUUUUGGGGUUGUUUUUAGGGAUUUUGGGGUUUUUUUGGGAUUUGGGUUUUUUUGGGGGAGAUUUGGGAUUUUUUGGGCGAAGUUUUUGGGAUUUGGGUUUUUUUUGGAUUUGGGAAUUUUGGGGGAUUUGGGGCUUUUGGGGGAUUUGGGGUUUGGUUGGGAGUUGAGAUUUUUUGGGGGGAUUUGGGGGUUUUUUGAGAAGUUGUUGGAAUUUGGGGGUUUUUGGGGAUUUGAGGUAUUUUUGGGUUUAUUUUUUGGGAUUUGGGAAUUUUUUGGGAUUUGGGGGAUUUUUGGGAUCUGGGUUUUUUGGGGGGGACUUUGGAAUUUUUUUGGAUGUGGGGUUUUUUGGGAUUUGGGAGGGUUGGGGUUUUUGGGGGGAUUUGGGGCUUUUUUGGGAUUUGAGUUUGGUUUUUUGGGAUUUGGGUUUUUUUGGAUUUUGGGGUUUCUUGGGGGUAAAUUUGGGGUUUGUAUGGAUUUGGGGGUUUUGGGGGGAUUUGGGGGUUUUUGGGGGAAGUUUUUGAGAUUUGGGGUUUUCUUUGAUUUGGAUUUUUUUGGGAUUUGGGGUUUUUUGGGAUUUGGGUUUUUUUGGGAAUUGGGAUUGGGAUUUUUUUGGGAUUGGGGUUUUUUUUGGGGGCAUUUGGGUUUUUUUGGGAGAUUUGGGUUUUUUUGGGAUUUGGGUUUUUUGGGGGCAUUUGGGUUCUUCUUUGCUUUGGAUUUUUUGGGAGAUUUGGGGUUUUUUGGGAUUUCUUUUUUUUUGGAAUUGGGACUGGGGUUUUUUUCCGGAUUUGUGUUUCUCUUCGCUUUGGAUUUUUUGUGGGAUUCGGGGUUGUUUUUUUUUUUUUUGGAUUUGGGAGUUUUUUUCGGGAUUUGGGGGUGGUUUUUUUUCGGGAGUUGA